GAUCAGGCUCAGGAUGAACGCUGGCGGCGUGCCUAACACAUGCAAGUCGAGCGAUUCUCUUCGGAGAAGAGCGGCGGACGGGUGAGUAACGCGUGGGUAAUCUACCCUGUACACACGGAUAACAUACCGAAAGGUAUGCUAAUACGGGAUAACAUAAGAAAUUCGCAUGUUUUUCUUAUCAAAGCUCCGGCGGUACAGGAUGGACCCGCGUCUGAUUAGCUAGUUGGUGAGGUAACGGCUCACCAAGG
rnacentral:rRNA from 1 species